AACGAACGCUGGCGGCAGGCUUAACACAUGCAAGUCGAACGGGCGUAGCAAUACGUCAGUGGCGGACGGGUGAGUAACACGUGGGAAUAUGCCUUUCGGUUCGGAACAACUCGGGGAAACCCGUGCUAAUUCCGGAUACGCCUUACGGGAAGAUUAUCGCCGAAGAUUAGCCGCGUUGGAUUAGCUAGUUGGUGAGGUAAAGGACUCACCAAGGCGACGAUCCAUAGCUGGUUUGAGAGAACGACCAGCCACACUGGGACUGAGACACGGCCCAGACUCCUACGGGAGGCAGCAGUGGGGAAGUCUUGGACAAUGGAGGAAACUCUGAUCCAGCCAUGCCGCGUGAGUGAU
rnacentral:rRNA from 1 species